rnacentral:rRNA from 1 species
GAUGAACGCUGGCGGCGUGCCUAAUACAUGCAAGUCGAGCGAACAGACGAGGAGCUUGCUCCUCUGACGUUAGCGGCGGACGGGUGAGUAACACGUGGAUAACCUACCUAUAAGACUGGGAUAACUUCGGGAAACCGGAGCUAAUACCGGAUAAUAUAUUGAACCGCAUGGUUCAAUAGUGAAAGACGGUUUUGCUGUCACUUAUAGAUGGAUCCGCGCCGCAUUAGCUAGUUGGUAAGGUAACGGCUUACCAAGGCGACGAUGAGUAGCCGACCUGAGAGGGUGAUCGGCCCCACUGGAACUGAGACACGGUCCAGACUCCUACGGGAGGCAGCAGUAGGGAAUCUUCCGCAAUGGGCGAAAGCCUGACGGAGCAACGCCGCGUGAGUGAUGAAGGUCUUCGGAUCGUAAAACUCUGUUAUUAGGGAAGAACAAAUGUGUAAGUAACUAUGCACGUCUUGACGGUACCUAAUCAGAAAGCCACGGCUAACUACGUG